rnacentral:rRNA from 1 species
UACGUAGGGGGCAAGCGUUGUCCGGAAUCAUUGGGCGUAAAGAGCGUGUAGGCGGCCAGAUAAGUCCGCUGUGAAAUCUCGAGGCUCAACUUCGAGCUGUCGGUGGAAACUGUCUGGCUGGAGUCCGGAAGAGGAGAAUGGAAUUCCUGGUGUAGCGGUGAAAUGCGCAGAUAUUAGGAAGAACACCGGUGGCGAAGGCGGCCCACUGGUCCGGUACUGACGCUGAGGUGCGAAAGCCAGGGGAGCAAACGGG